UACGUAGGGUGCAAGCGUUGUCCGGAAUUAUUGGGCGUAAAGAGCUCGUAGGCGGUUUGUCGCGUCUGCUGUGAAAACUCAGGGCUUAACCCUGAGCCUGCAGUGGGUACGGGCAGACUAGAGUGUGGUAGGGGAGAUCGGAAUUCCUGGUGUAGCGGUGGAAUGCGCAGAUAUCAGGAGGAACACCGGUGGCGAAGGCGGAUCUCUGGGCCAUAACUGACGCUGAGGCGCGAAAGCGUGGGUAGCAAACAGG
rnacentral:rRNA from 1 species